rnacentral:rRNA from 2 species
GUUCGAUCUCAAAUCAGGUAGGAU